AGCGAACGCUGGCGGCAGGCCUAACACAUGCAAGUCGAACGAACUCUUCGGAGUUAGUGGCGGACGGGUGAGUAACACGUGGGAACGUGCCUUUUGGUUCGGAAUAACUCAGGGAAGCUUGUGCUAAUACCGAAUGUGCCCUUCGGGGGAAAGAUUUAUCGCCAUUAGAGCGGCCCGCGUCUGAUUAGCUAGUUGGUGAGGUAACGGCUCACCAAGGCGACGAUCAGUAGCUGGUCUGAGAGGAUGACCAGCCACACUGGGACUGAGACACGGCCCAGACUCCUACGGGAAGCAGCAGUGGGGAAUCUUGCGCAAUGGGCGAAAGCCUGACGCAGCCAUGCCGCGUGAAUGAUGAAGGUCUUAGGAUUGUAAAAUUCUUUCACCGGGGACGAUAAUGACGGUACCCGGAGAAGAAGCCCCGGCUAACUUCGUG
rnacentral:rRNA from 1 species